rnacentral:rRNA from 1 species
AUUGAACGCUGGCGGCAUGCCUUACACAUGCAAGUCGAACGGUAACAGGUCUUCGGAUGCUGACGAGUGGCGAACGGGUGAGUAAUACAUCGGAACGUGCCUAGUAGUGGGGGAUAACUACUCGAAAGAGUGGCUAAUACCGCAUGAGAUCUACGGAUGAAAGCAGGGGAUCGCAAGACCUUGUGCUACUAGAGCGGCCGAUGGCAGAUUAGGUAGUUGGUGGGAUAAAAGCUUACCAAGCCGACGAUCUGUAGCUGGUCUGAGAGGACGAUCAGCCCCAGUAGUACAUAGACACGGCCCAGACUCCUACGCGAGGCAGCAGUGGGGAAUUUUUGACAAUGGGCGCAAUCCUGAUCCAGCAAUGCCGCGUGCAGGAUGAAGGCCUUCGGGUUGUAAACUGCUUUUGUACGGAACGAAAAGCCCCGGGUUAAUACCCUGGGGUCAUGACGGUACCGUAAGAAUAAGCACCGGCUAACUACGUGCCAGCAGCCGCCGUAA